rnacentral:rRNA from 1 species
UACAGAGGCCAAGAGCGUUGUUCGGAUUUAUUGGGUUUAAAGGGUGCGUAGGCUGUUCGUCAAGUCAGUGGUGAAAUGCCGGGGCUUAACCCCGGAGCUGCCAUUGAUACUGUCGGGCUUGAAUCCUGCUGCCGUGGGAGGAAUGAGUAGUGUAGCGGUGAAAUGCAUUGAUAUUACUCAGAACACCGAUUGCGAAGGCAUCUCACGAAACAGGCAUUGACGCUGAGGCACGAAAGCGUGGGGAUCAAAC